rnacentral:rRNA from 1 species
UCGAGGAUCUUCGGCAAUGGGCGCAAGCCUGACCGAGCGACGCCGCGUGUGUGAUGAAGGCCUUCGGGUUGUAAAGCACUGUCGGGGGGAAGAAAGGGGCAACCUUGAUCGACCCCCGGAGGAAGCACGGGCUAAGUUCGUGCCAGCAGCCGCGGUAAGACGAACCGUGCGAACGUUGUUCGGAAUCACUGGGCUUAAAGGGCGCGUAGGCGGGGGCACAAGUCCGGGGUGAAAUCCCACGGCUCAACCGUGGAAGUGCCUUGGAUACUGUGUUUCUUGAGGAAGGUAGGGGCGUGCGGAACUUCCGGUGGAGCGGUGAAAUGCGUAGAUAUCGGAAGGAACACCGGUGGCGAAAGCGGCGCGCUGGACCUUUACUGACGCUGAGGCGCGAAAGCCAGGG